rnacentral:lncRNA from 1 species
CCUAUGGGCACAAAAAGCAGGAACGAGUAGCGGUGGCUGAAGAACGAGCAGGAGCUUGAAUUUCAGUUUUCUUAUGAGGAAUUUUCCAGAAAAGAUAUCUUCACUGUGAAAUAACUAAAUAAAUGCCCACUCAGUACAGUCACUGUCUCCCUUUUGGAACUUGAUGGCACCUUAAGCCCAGGUUUGCCUCCACUCUAGAAACUCAUCAGAGUGAUGCCCUUCUCAAAUGGGGGAGGUCCCAAAGCGGAUAUCCUGGCAGUGUGAAAGGCCGGCUAAAGGUUUGUGCCAAGAGGAUCUGUGGAAUGCAUCUCCUACAGCUGGUGCUGCUGAGUAACCACUCUGAUCUGGCAUCUUCUUUGAUCAAGUUACAGAGCAGAGUUUCCAGGGCUGGGGAUUGAAGUCCUGCCUCCUCCCUUUGUCUCUGGUUGUCCUCGGUAAUGUUUUUCCCUCAAGGUACUCAUGAUACUUCCCAUGGGCUUUCCCUGCACUCCAAACACAGAGCUGAGACUUCCACCUAAUGUAGAAAGCUAGCACGAGCCGGCGCUGACAGAUGGAAGACUUGAGAUGUUACAAGAUUAUAUAUGGAAACACAAAAGGAGAUACCGGAGCCAUGACAGACUGUGAUGGGGCUGGUGGACAGUUCAGCAAGACAUUGAUAUUGUCCAUUGGCGCUCAGUUCAUCUGUAAUGACACAUUCAAGGAUGACGAUUAAUGUCCAAUAUGUAUAAAGUGGAUCCCUUUGUAAAAACAAUACAAUUCUUAUUAUUGUCUUUCUUUUUAAGCCUCCAUGGUAUACUACACCACUCGCAAUCUUUGUUUUGCUUGUACAAACAAAAAACCACAACUGCUCAGCUGUAGCAGUUUUCAAACACAUUACACUUCAUAAUGAUCUGACAGUGUUAAAGACAUACAGAUAUCUAGGCUGCACUCUAGCUCACUCAAUCAGAAAUAUACAGUUGGGGGUGGCUGAUUCCUACACUUAAAAAAAUAACAGCUCCCAAGGCAAUUCUAAUAUAGUUAGUUGAACACUAUUUGGAAAUUACUGAACCACACAGUAACUUUCUCAAAAGGGAAAGAACCAUUUGCUAGAGGACUGGAGAGAUUGUAUUUUCCACUAGGAAGUCAUUUUCAGGAGGCAUUUGAACCAGGAAUAACUUCGGUCAAGGCAAAACCUCCCUUGUGUCUUCUAUUAAAAAAAAAUGUUUAAUUGAUACAUAAUAAUUGUAUGUAUUUAUGCUGUUGUCCAUUCAUGUUCCUAGGUUUUAAGUCUGUGCAGAGUCUAGUUCUUUAUUUAUACUGUAAAUGGGUCAUGGUAUUUUAAAAACAAUACCUGACCCAGGAAACAAACGUUCUUCCCAUCAACUGAUGAGCCACUCUUACUAAAGAUGGCUGAAAUGAGGGCAAAGAGGAAGAAAUAGAAACGUGUGCGGUAUGAUUUAUUUGAAGUAGGCAUAAUAAAAAUGUUAUUUUUGAUACUCUAUUUAGUGGAAAAUAUCCAGAUACAAUGGGAUUAUUUAAUGAGUAAAGAGGCUUUCUAGUUCUAGUAUCUAGGUUCUUUUCUCCUGACCCUCCAGCUUCUGCUUGAGGCUCAUCCAUGUUGUAGAAUGUAUCAGAACUUCGUUUCUUUUUACAGCUGAAUAAUAUUUCAUUGGAAGGACAGUCCACAAUUUGUUUAUCCACUUAUUCACUGAUGGAUGUUUUGGGCUGUUUCUACCUUUUGGCUUUUGUGAAUGGUGCUGCUAUGAAUAUACAGAUACCUGUGUGUAUAGGCAUUUGUUUAAAUACCAGUUUUUUAUUUAUACUCCUAGGAGUGGAGUUGCUGGGUCAUAUGGCAAUUCAUUUGAGGAACUGAGAAGCUUAUUCCAUGGAGGCUGAACUGUUUUAUAUUCCCACCAGCAACGUGUAAGGUUCCAGUUUAUCUACAUCAUCACCAACACUUGCUAUUUUCCAUUUCAUUAAUGAUAGCCAUCCUAGUGGAUUUGAAGUGGUACCUUAUUAUCGUGGUUUUGAUUGCAUUCUCUAUUGACUAAUGAUAUCGAGCAUCUUUUCAUGUAUUUUUUGGUCAUUUGGUCAUUUUUCUUUUUUAAUUUUAAAAUUUUGAGACAGGCUCUCACUAUGUUGCCCAGGUGGUCUCAAACUCCUGGGUUCCAGCGAUGCUCAUGCCUCAGUCUCCCAAAGGGGUGGGAUUACAGGUGUGAGCCACUUUGCCCAGCCCAUUUGUAUAUCUCCUUUGGAGAAUAUCUAGGUUCUUUUGAAGGUAGCUGCAUAUAAACUAGCCAAAUUAACAGACUGUGGUUUUUAGAUGGCUUUCCAUAUCUACAAGAACUAUUUAGUUCUCAAAACUGGGAAGAAAUGUUUCAGAGGCAUCAUUAAUUCAUAAUCUAAAAAUUUAUCUUGGGUUUCCUUUUUUCCCCCAGAUUCUGUAUCCUCCAUAGUCCUAUUCAUGACAUGGGUCGUUCAUCUCUGUAUUCUAAACCCUCAAUGAACUGUAGACAGUAAUAAAUAUUUAUUGGAU